UUAAGUGACUAAGCGUACACGGUGGAUGCCUGGGCAGUCAGAGGCGAUGAAGGACGUACUAACUUGCGAUAAGCGCAGAUAAGGCAGUAAGAGCCGUUUGAGUCUGCGAUUUCCGAAUGGGGAAACCCAACUGCAUAAGCAGUUACUGUUAACUGAAUACAUAGGUUAACAGAGCAAACCGGGGGAACUGAAACAUCUAAGUACCCCGAGGAGAAGAAAUCAACCGAGAUUCCGGUAGUAGCGGCGAGCGAACCUGGAUUAGCCCUUAAGCACUCGGUGAAGUAGGUGAACAAGCUGGAAAGCUUGGCGAUACAGGGUGAUAGCCCCGUAACCGACGCUUCAUCGAGCGUGAAAUCGAGUAGGGCGGGACACGUGAUAUCCUGUCUGAAUAUGGGGGGACCAUCCUCCAAGGCUAAAUACUCCUGACUGACCGAUAGUGAACCAGUACCGUGAGGGAAAGGCGAAAAGAACCCCUGUGAGGGGAGUGAAAUAGAACCUGAAACCGUGUACGUACAAGCAGUAGGAGCACCUUCGUGGUGUGACUGCGUACCUUUUGUAUAAUGGGUCAGCGACUUAUAUUCAGUGGCAAGGUUAACCGUAUAGGGGAGCCGUAGCGAAAGCGAGUCUUAACUGGGCGCUCAGUCUCUGGAUAUAGACCCGAAACCGGGUGAUCUAGCCAUGGGCAGGUUGAAGGUUGAGUAACAUCAACUGGAGGACCGAACCGACUAAUGUUGAAAAAUUAGCGGAUGACUUGUGGCUAGGGGUGAAAGGCCAAUCAAACUCGGAGAUAGCUGGUUCUCCCCGAAAGCUAUUUAGGUAGCGCCUCGGACGAAUACUACUGGGGGUAGAGCACUGUUAAGGCUAGGGGGUCAUCCCGACUUACCAACCCUUUGCAAACUCCGAAUACCAGUAAGUACUAUCCGGGAGACACACGGCGGGUGCUAACGUCCGUCGUGGAGAGGGAAACAACCCAGACCGCCAGCUAAGGUCCCAAAGUAUUGCUAAGUGGGAAACGAUGUGGGAAGGCUCAGACAGCUAGGAUGUUGGCUUAGAAGCAGCCAUCAUUUAAAGAAAGCGUAAUAGCUCACUAGUCGAGUCGGCCUGCGCGGAAGAUGUAACGGGGCUAAGCAAUACACCGAAGCUGCGGCAAUAUCUUUUAGAUAUUGGGUAGGGGAGCGUUCUGUAAGCCGUUGAAGGUGAAUCGUAAGGUUUGCUGGAGGUAUCAGAAGUGCGAAUGCUGACAUGAGUAACGACAAAGGGGGUGAAAAACCUCCUCGCCGGAAGACCAAGGGUUCCUGUCCAACGUUAAUCGGGGCAGGGUGAGUCGACCCCUAAGGUGAGGCCGAAAGGCGUAAUCGAUGGGAAACGGGUUAAUAUUCCCGUACUUCUGACUAUUGCGAUGGGGGGACGGAGAAGGCUAGGUGGGCCAGGCGACGGUUGUCCUGGUUCAAGUGCGUAGGCUUGAGAGUUAGGUAAAUCCGGCUCUCUCUAAGGCUGAGACACGACGUCGAGCUGCUACGGCAGUGAAGUCAUUGAUGCCAUGCUUCCAGGAAAAGCCUCUAAGCUUCAGAUAGUCAGGAAUCGUACCCCAAACCGACACAGGUGGUCGGGUAGAGAAUACCAAGGCGCUUGAGAGAACUCGGGUGAAGGAACUAGGCAAAAUGGUACCGUAACUUCGGGAGAAGGUACGCUCUUGAUGGUGAAGUCCCUCGCGGAUGGAGCUGACGAGAGUCGCAGAUACCAGGUGGCUGCAACUGUUUAUUAAAAACACAGCACUGUGCAAAAUCGCAAGAUGACGUAUACGGUGUGACGCCUGCCCGGUGCCGGAAGGUUAAUUGAUGGGGUUAGCGCAAGCGAAGCUCUUGAUCGAAGCCCCGGUAAACGGCGGCCGUAACUAUAACGGUCCUAAGGUAGCGAAAUUCCUUGUCGGGUAAGUUCCGACCUGCACGAAUGGCGUAAUGAUGGCCACGCUGUCUCCACCCGAGACUCAGUGAAAUUGAAAUCGCUGUGAAGAUGCAGUGUACCCGCGGCUAGACGGAAAGACCCCGUGAACCUUUACUACAGCUUGGCACUGAACAUUGAACCUACAUGUGUAGGAUAGGUGGGAGGCUAUGAAGACGUGACGCCAGUUGCGUUGGAGCCGUCCUUGAAAUACCACCCUUGUAUGUUUGAUGUUCUAACUUAGACCCAUUAUCUGGGUUGAGGACAGUGCCUGGUGGGUAGUUUGACUGGGGCGGUCUCCUCCCAAAGAGUAACGGAGGAGCACGAAGGUGGGCUAAUCACGGUUGGACAUCGUGAGGUUAGUGCAAUGGCAUAAGCCCGCUUAACUGCGAGAAUGACGGUUCGAGCAGGUGCGAAAGCAGGUCAUAGUGAUCCGGUGGUUCUGUAUGGAAGGGCCAUCGCUCAACGGAUAAAAGGUACUCCGGGGAUAACAGGCUGAUACCGCCCAAGAGUUCAUAUCGACGGCGGUGUUUGGCACCUCGAUGUCGGCUCAUCACAUCCUGGGGCUGAAGUCGGUCCCAAGGGUAUGGCUGUUCGCCAUUUAAAGUGGUACGCGAGCUGGGUUUAGAACGUCGUGAGACAGUUCGGUCCCUAUCUGCCGUGGGCGUUGGAAGAUUGAAGGGGGCUGCUCCUAGUACGAGAGGACCGGAGUGGACGAACCUCUGGUGUUCGGGUUGUGUCGCCAGACGCAUUGCCCGGUAGCUAAGUUCGGAAUUGAUAAGCGCUGAAAGCAUCUAAGCGCGAAGC
rnacentral:rRNA from 1 species